UCUGUUGGUUUUCUCUUCUUCUUUUUCUUUAACUGAGUUCCAAAAAUCCCCAAAUCUAAUUCUAUGAAAUUCAAUCCAAGACCAUUUGAGUUAAGAAUCGAAAUCAGAGUUUGGGAAAUAGUUAAUCUCGAUUAAAAUUCCUUCAAUUUCGGCAAAAUUUCUCUUGAAAUCUGAUUCUUAGAUUCAUGAAAAGUUUUUAAAUUUUGAAAUCGUCGUAUGAACCUGUUUUACGAUCUAAGCUAUCUGCGGCGGUUACAGUUUCACCACCAGCUCCGGAAGAGAGAGAGAGACAGGGGUCGAUGCCGAUGAGGCGAGGCGGAGGAGAAAGGACAAUCUCGUCGAGAUUAGAAAAAAACAAGUGUGAGGAUAGUCUCCUCACGAAGCAGCAGCAGCAGCCUCCCGGAGCUGGCCUCGACGAAUGUUGCCGUCGUUGAGAAACGAUUGCAACAACGGGAAAAGAUUAACAACGAGAUUUAUUACCAUGUCCUUCUUCACAUGUAAUGCCUUCUGCUUCUCCAUGAGAUAUUGGUGCACCUUCUCUUGUUCCAAUUCGGGCUUCUAGAUCAUCUAUCAGAUCCUCAAGCUCUAGGUAUGGAGGAAGAUCCAAUCAACCUGCAUAUUCUAUGGAAGGUGAUCUGAAAAAUGAGUGUUGCUCUGUCAAAGAUAGAGAAUAAGUGGAAGGAAGAGCUUGAUCAAGAACUAGAAAGAAAGCGCACAAGUCAAGUCUUUUUUGUGACAAUCAUGAUUGUACACUGCACGUACUUGUGAAUUAAGAUUGCAUAUGACUUAUGUUUUUGUAUUUCAUUUCUGUAUUUUGUUGUGUUGUAGAUUAAGAACAUAUUACUACAUGUACAACUAGAUCCCUUAGGUACAACUGAGAAAAUUUUGGUAUAACUUGAACUACUUGGUGCAACUACACUAUUUGAUUGUUCAGAUAGUUUUUUUUU